AACUCAAAGUGAAGUUGAAAAUGUGUCAUUCCAACUAUUCCAGAAGUGUUCAUAUUAGGACUACCAUAUUUGAGCAACAGAAAACCAGAACAUCGGAAAGCAGCAUGGCUCUCUGGGAAAAAAAUCAAUAAAAUAUGUGAUCUUA